AGUGAACGCUGGCGGUAGGCCUAUCACAUGCAAGUCGAACGGCAGCACAGUAAGAGCUUGCUCUUACGGGUGGCGAGUGGCGGACGGGUGAGGAAUACAUCGGAAUCUACUUUUUCGUGGGGGAUAACGUAGGGAAACUUACGCUAAUACCGCAUACGACCUACGGGUGAAAGCAGGGGAUCUUCGGACCUUGCGCGAUUGAAUGAGCCGAUGUCGGAUUAGCUAGUUGGCGGGGUAAAGGCCCACCAAGGCGACGAUCCGUAGCUGGUCUGAGAGGAUGAUCAGCCACACUGGAACUGAGACACGGUCCAGACUCCUACGGGAGGCAGCAGUGGGGAAUAUUGGACAAUGGGCGCAAGCCUGAUCCAGCCAUACCGCGUGGGUGAAGAAGGCCUUCGGGUUGUAAAGCCCUUUUGUUGGGAAAGAAAAGCAGCAGGUUAAUACCCCGCUGUUCUGACGGUACCCAAAGAAUAAGCACCGGCUAACUUCGU
rnacentral:rRNA from 1 species